rnacentral:rRNA from 1 species
CGCAGCGUACGGCUCAGUAACACGUAGUCAACCUGCCCUGGAGACGCGGACAAACCCGGGAAACUGGGGCCUAUCCGCGAUAGAUGACCUCAUCUGGAGGGAGAGGUCGUCCAAAAGGACGCACGGGUAUGCUCUGUGCGGACCGCUCCAGGAUGGGACUGCGGCCGAUCAGGCUGUUGGCGGGGUAAUGGCCCACCAAACCUGUAACCGGUACGGGCUUUGAGAGAAGGAGCCCGGAGAUGGACACUGAGACAAGGGUCCAGGCCCUACGGGGCGCAUCAGGCGCGAAACCUUCGCAAUGCGCGAAAGCGUGACGAGGCUAGUCCGAGUGCCGCCUGCUAAAGGUGGCUUUUCUCGGCUGCAAAUAGGCCGGGGAAUAAGGGGAGGGCAAGUCUGGUGUCAGCCGCCGCGGUAAUACCAGCUCCUCGAGUGGUCGGGACGAUUAUUGGGCCUAAAGCACCCGUAGCCGGUUCUGUAAGUCCUCUGUUAAAUCCAGUCGCUCAACGACUGGCGUGCAGAGGAUACUGCGGGACUAGGAGGCGGGAGAGGCGGACGGUACUCCGCGUGUAGGGGUAAAAUCCUUUGAUCCGCGGAAGACCACCAG